rnacentral:rRNA from 1 species
UACGUAGGGUGCAAGCGUUAAUCGGAAUUACUGGGCGUAAAGCGUGCGCAGGCGGUUGUGCAAGACAGGUGUGAAAUCCCCGGGCUUAACCUGGGAACUGCACUUGUGACUGCACGGCUGGAGUGCGGCAGAGGGGGAUGGAAUUCCGCGUGUAGCAGUGAAAUGCGUAGAUAUGCGGAGGAACACCGAUGGCGAAGGCAAUCCCCUGGGCCUGCACUGACGCUCAUGCACGAAAGCGUGGGGAGCAAACAGG